rnacentral:rRNA from 1 species
UACGGGGGGGGGCAAGCGUUGUUCGGAAUUACUGGGCGUAAAGGGCUCGUAGGCGGCCAACUAAGUCAGACGUGAAAUCCCUCGGCUUAACCGGGGAACUGCGUCUGAUACUGGAUGGCUUGAAUUCGGGAGAGGGAUGCAGAAUUCCAGGUGUAGCGGUGAAAUGCGUAGAUAUCUGGAGGAAUACCGGUGGCGAAGGCGGCAUCCUGGACCGACAUUGACGCUGAUGAGCGAAAGCUAGGGGAGCAAACGGG